GACAGUGUGGCAUAGUGGUUUGACCAUUGGACUACAACGCUGAAGACCAGGGUUCAAUUCCCCACUCAGCCA